AAGGGACCCUCUUCCACCUCUAGGGGGUUUGUGGUGAGACGCCUCCUCAUCUUGUUUUAUUUUGGCUGGACUUCCUGUGUUUCCCUGUUAGCCUGGUCUGGCUUUACUCUUUUCCAGAGCUUCCUCCCCUCCCCCGGCGCUGAGGCUGAGUGAGACUACACACCUGCUCCACAUCUCCAAUCAAGGCACUUUAAGAAGCCUGCAGCCCUCAGCCUCAGGGCCUGAGUAUUGUCUACCCUUCCUAGCGGUAAAGACGCGUCUCCUGGCCAACCUCGUUUGUAUCAUCAUCAGAACUUUGCUCCUCGUGACUCUGCGCAUGUUCAAUAACUUCCAUCUCCUCUGGUUUUUCCUGCAGUGUCUCCAGCCCACACGACAGCCAGCCAACCAGCCUACCGGACAUCCUCUGUUGCAUUAUCUA